CCUACGGGAGGCAGCAGUGGGGAAUAUUGCACAAUGGGGGGAACCCUGAUGCAGCAAUGCCGCGUGGGUGAAGAAGCACUCCGGUGCGUAAAGCCCUGUCAGCAGGGAAGAAAAUGACAGUACCUGGACAAGAAGCCCCGGCUAACUACGUGCCAGCAGCCGCGGUAAUACGGAGGAUGCGAGCGUUAUCCGGAUUUAUUGGGUUUAAAGGGUGCGCAGGCGGAGGUGCAAGUCAGCGGUCAAAUUGCGGGGCUCAACCCCGUACUGCCGUUGAAACUGCAUCCCUUGAGUGCGCGAGAAGUAUGCGGAAUGCGUGGUGUAGCGGUGAAAUGCAUAGAUAUCACGCAGAACUCCGAUUGCGAAGGCAGCAUACCGGCGCGCAACUGACGCUCAUGCACGAAAGCGUGGGUAUCGAACAGGAUUAGAUACCCGUGUAGUC
rnacentral:rRNA from 1 species